rnacentral:rRNA from 1 species
GAUGAACGCUGGCGGCGUGCCUAAUACAUGCAAGUCGAGCGAAGCGGGGACGGGUGAGUAACACGUGGAUAACCUCCUAUAAGACUGGGAUAACUUCGGGAAACCGGUGCUAAACCGGAUACUUAUAGCUGGAUGCGCGCUGCAUUAGCUAGUUGGUAAGGUAACGGCUUACCAAGGCAACGAUGCAUGGCCGACCUGAGAGAGUGAUCGGCAAAAUGGAAACGGAGACAGGGUCCAGACUCCAACGGGGGGCAGCGUGAGGAAAUCUUCCGAAAUGGGGGAAAGCCUAACGGAGCAACGCGGCGGGAGGAAUGAAGGUCUUCGGAUCUAAAAUCUCUGUUAUUAGGGAAGCGGUACCUAAUCAGAAAGCCACGGCUAACUACGUGCCAGCAGCGCGGUAAUUC